CGCUCAUGGCGGCCGGGCCUCCUCACGCAGGCGCACCUGCUAGUAACCGCCGCCGAGGGCGCGGGAAACGCAGGGAGCUUAGUGUGGGCUCGCCCGAGAACUCGGGAGUCCACGUCCUUACCUCUGCGCGUCUGCAGCCUCCGACGGUUCCCGUGGAGAGACUUCCCCGCUUCGUGGUGGGCCCGUCGAACUUGACGUCGACGCUGUCGUCCGGAGAGUGACGGUUAAACAAUUACCCCACCCCUCUGUGCUCCUGAAAGGGUUUAUCCAAGGCCCACCCUUCCCCGUAGGAUUUAGGGGCCACCCCGUACCCCCGGCUUAUCCAUGACAAGGUCAGAUGUAGACCCUAGAAAUUCCUUUUAAAAACUGGUUUUUUUGGUACCGGGGAUCGAACUCGGGACCUUACGCUUGCGAGGCAGGUGACGGAACCACUGAGCUAAAUCCCCAGCCCUGCUUUUAAAAAUUUUUUUUAGUUUGGUGGUGGGGAUCGAACCCCCGACUUCGCAGUGAGCUCUCUCCCUCUCUUUGAAGUCGGCACUACGUUGUCCGAGAUGGGCUGGAACUUGUCGCCGCAGCCUUCCAGCCUCAGCCUCCUGGAGUGCUGGGAUUGCUGACCUGCCUCGCCACGCCCCGCCCCACCUCCCAUUCUUUGCCUCCUAAGUGAUUGAUCGCUCUCGCUGUAGUCAGAGUAACAGCGGCCCGUCUUGACCUAACUUCGCUUCAGCGACUCUCCCCUCAUUCCUUUAAACCCGGACCCACGCUCAGCCCAGUGCCAGGACUCAGUUUGAGAUAGGGACUUCCACAGACUCCUGCCAUUGCUUCCUGGUGUGGCACCAUGUAGCUAAAUCGCCAGCCCUGGAGUUUUCAGUGACACAAAGCCUGCUGCUGUGAGUGCCAUAGGUUCACCACCACUGGCCUAGUGAAUGCUAGGUAAGUGUUCUGCCAUUGGGCUAUCCGCCAUCCUACCCUUUAGUUUGUGUUUUGAGAGUUUCACUGGUGGCCCAGGCAGGCGAUCCUCCUGCCUCCGGAGUGCUGUGGGAUUACAGGCCUGUGCCCCGUGCCCCUGUGCCCCUGGGCCCAGCUCCCCAUCCUCUCUUCAGAAGUUCAGAAUGAGUUUAAAAACUAUUUUGUCAACUUUUUAUUUUCUCUAGCAUAUACUUAUGAAAACUUGACAACUUUUCCAAACUCUUUGAAACCUGUCUUUCUUUUUCUUUUUUUUUUUGGUACCGGGGAUUGAACGAGGGUCCUUGUGCCUGCUGGCAGCG
rnacentral:lncRNA from 1 species